AUGUUUCACUUGGUGUCCAACUUCAAGAAGAAGUUUCAUGGAAAGGUUUUUGAUGACCACCUUUGGGCUGCUGCUUACUCAUGGAACCCAUAUUUAUUUGAGAAAAAUUGGGUUGCAAUGGACAUAGCAAAGCCAAUGGCAACUGCAUAUCUUAGGAAGUGGCACACUAGGUUGUGGUCUAGGAGUCAGUUCUCAACAAUUUCCAAGGUGGAUUAUGUUACAAACAACUUGGCUGAGUGCUUCAAUAAUUGGAUUAAGCAUCACAAGUCCUUGAACUUGGACGGCUUCUUUGAUAAGCUUAGGCAAUUGAUUAUGAUCAUGUGGAACCGAAGGAGAAAGGUAGCAAGAAAGUUAGCUGGGUUGAUUCUUCCCCACAUAAUUAAGAAGUUGAAUGCAAAGACCAGAGAAUUAAACUUGGAGGUGGUUGAAAGCUCAGAAGAAGUUGCUGAAGUAACCGCAUUGGGAGCCAGCGGCUUUAGGUUUGUGGUCAACUUGCUUGACAGGACAUGUUCUUGUAGACAAUGGGAAGUUACUGGACUUCCUUGCAAACAUGGUCUAGCAUUUAUCACAUCUCUUACCAAUGCACGCAUAGAGUACUAUGUGGACUUGUGUUACUCCAUUCACAAAUUUAGAGCAGCUUAUGACCAACUAAUCCCUGCCAUUGUUGACAAGAACCAAUGGCCUAAAUCAGACCAUGGAUUCUUCAUGUUUCCACCACUACUAAAAGCCACAUCGGGUAGGCCUAAAACUGAGAGGUAUAAAGGCUGCAGUGAGAAGAAAAGAAAAAGCGCCAACACUUAUGCCCUAUUUGCAAGGACUAUGGGCAUCAUUGGCACAAAUGCAAGAAGGGUAACCCAGAUGACAUUGCUACUAUUUUAG
rnacentral:rRNA from 1 species